GAGAUUUCAUUUAUAAUUUGUCAAGUGCGCUGGAAUCAUUUUAGUAUUUCUCUUUUAUUUAGCAGAUGACUAAAAUUUACACAUAACUGUUGAGAUUGUUUGGUUUGUUAUGAUUGCUGGCUCACGAUUAAGUGAUCUGAUAUUAAAACAGCUCUGAAAACAGCUCUGAAAGAAAAUACAUAACUAUGUCUUCAUUUUCAAGUUCACAACUGGAGAAAAAAUUAAAAGUUUUAACUAUGUCACAACAGAGUAUUCAGACGCUAUCUUUAUGGUGCAUUCAUCAUCGAAAACACUCAAAGAAAGUUGUUCAAACCUGGUUUAAAGAGCUUCAAAGAGUUAAACCACAAAGAAAACUGAUCUUUGUAUACUUGGCAAAUGAUGUCCUUCAAAAUAGUCGAAGAAAA
rnacentral:lncRNA from 1 species